UCAAUGGCUGAAAGGAGAAACCUAUAACACUGUUUCCUGCUUCAUGUUAAGAGGGCUUAGUCUGGAGUCAGAUAAACUUUUUUAAUCCCAGCUUCAUCAUUCACUAGUCAUGUGGUCUUGGGUCCCACCAAAGGACUCCCAGCUGGCUGGCCGGGAUCCAGACACUCAGGCUGGCCUCUCACAUCAUCUGCACAGCAGUAACAGGAAGAGCAGGACCAUCAGGAUAGGGGAAGACGAUUAGACCGCCUCCACUGCGAGGAGUUCAUCUCAGAGAGGGACAGAGUAAACCCAGUUGUCAUCUGGCUUACAUAGAAGAAGCAAAGACUCAAAGACUCCUCUUGGGUGCUGACUCUGGUGCACAGGGUAACUCACUGCUUCAGGAGAAGCUGGAUCCUAUAUGGUAACUAUGGUUGGAUUCCCUGGCCGAGUUUAAA